AUUGAACGCUGGCGGCAGGCCUAACACAUGCAAGUCGAGCGAGCGGCGGACGGGUGAGUCAUGUCUGGGAAACUGCCUGAUGGAGGGGGCUAACUACUGGAAACGGUAGCUAAUACCGCAUACCAUCAGACCUUCCCAGAUUGGAUUAGCUAGUAGGUGGGGUAAUGGCUCACGUAGGCGACGAUCCCUAGCUGGUCUGAGAGGAUGACCAGCCACACUGGAACUGAGACACGGUCCAGACUCCUACGGGAGGCAGCAGUGGGGAAUAUUGCACAAUGGGCGCAAGCCUGAUGCAGCCAUGCCGCGUGUGUGAAGAAGGCCUUCGGGUUGUAAAGCACUUUCAGCGGGGAGGCGUUACCCGCAGAAGAAGCACCGGCUAACUCCGUGCCAGCAGCCGCGGUAAUUC
rnacentral:rRNA from 1 species